CAGUGAGGCCCUAUUUGUAAAUUGGAGGGGACCCUAUUGGCACUAAGAGCCCAAAUUAAAGAGAUGGAUUUUCUGGCCACUGGUACCUGGCUGUCUGGAAUGUGAGAGGAUAAGCAACAAAGACAGGAGGAGGCCUGACCUGGUGUGGCGAGCUUAUCGUAUGGAAAAGGCUAUGGGGAAGGCAUCUAGGAGUGAUAAAGGUUCUGCUGAGAUGCCCAAUGGAUUCACCCACAAGGCCCAGGAAAACCUCAUAAGCACAGAAGCGCUCUUCGUGGGCAGUUUAUACCCAAGCUGGUCAUUUCUGGGCUCCAAAGAGAGCAAAUCAAUGAAGAAUUUCAUGCCCACCAGGAAAGUGCUAUCUAGACUGGUGAGUUUU